UACGUAGGUGGCAAGCGAUACUCGGAAUCACUGGGCGUAAAGCGCAGGUAGGCGGUUUGGUAAGUCUUUUGUGAAAGCUCCCGGCUUAACUGGGAGAGGUCAAGGGAAACUACCGGACUAGAGUGUGGUAGGGGAUACUGGAAUUCCUGGUGUAGCGGUGAAAUGCGCAGAUAUCAGGAGGAACACCGGUGGCGAAGGCGGUUCUCUGGGCCUUAACUGACACUGAGGAGCGAAAGCGUGGGGAGCGAACAGG
rnacentral:rRNA from 1 species